GAGCAUGUGGCGGAACUGGUAUACGCGUACGAUUCAGAAUCGUAUGCCGCAAGGCUUGAGGGUUCAAAUCCCUCCAUGCUCA
rfam:Parcubacteria bacterium C7867-005 C7867_00016, whole genome shotgun sequence.